rnacentral:lncRNA from 1 species
CAGAAAGAUGCUCCAUCUACUACAGCGAAGUGCAGCUACAGCCUUUUGUGCUCAGUGCACUACAAUGUGAGUUCCUAAGAUUCAACUACGAUUACUCUAUGAAGAUGGGUACUGACUGAUAUGAUAUGUUCAGAAUCUGAGUGGCAGCACCCAGCGGUGAGGUUAUUGAAGGAAGCUCCUGUUCCACACACAAAUAUCCACGCUGAUGGAAUGGUUUGGUGUUUGAGAGAUGAUGGAGAUGGUUCCAGAUUGAAUUGGAUGUGUGCUACAAACCAAGUCCGGAAAGAUCACGUGGUAAUCUAUGAAACAGGAUAAAGAGUUCAUGGUGGGGAAACAUACAACAAGUGGGCAAGCAGCUUAGCCCAUCUACAUUUUCUUCGUUUCUGAGAGAACAGGAAAGGGAAGGUAGGACAGACAAAGGACUCAGAGUAUGGUAUGUUUUUCAUGAGUAACUGAAUGAGAAACUAAUAGUUUAAUAGCGUAUUGAUUGAAGUUUAUUACACUUCUUUUGGUAACUUCUUUGUUGCCAUAAAUUCAUGUGACUGUCUUCAUGCAUUAAUUCAGAGAAUGGGAAAAAGGCAAAUAGAAUAUUUUGACAGAACUUCCUCUCCCUUGCAAAAGGUAUUCUUGCUGUAUGCUUGUAUUUUUUUCUGCUUCUAUAUUUAUUGUUUAACAGAAUUCAAAAGAAAAAGAAAAAAUCUAAUUUAAUGUCAUUUGUGAUCUGUACUACUGUUCUUGAGGGUUUGUUCCAGGCUAAUUUUCUUAGCUUAAGGCUACCAAAAUAACUAUUCAUUCUACAGUACCACAUUAUGCAGAAUAUAUUGACUAAUAUUAUGGAGCAAUGAUGAUGCCAUCACAUAGCAUGUGAUAUGAGAAGCACUGAACUUGAUGAAUAGCAUUGUCUGCAAGUACUUUCUGGCUGUGUUGUAAAGGAGUUUUUGACAAAACAUAGUACGUCUUUUACAGCUAGCACUCAAUGUGAGAUAACUUGAAAGUUAACACAGAGAUCGUAGUUUCAAAUACAGUGUUAAAACCUUGCAGAAUUCAUUUAUAGGUCCAUGCAGAUAUUCUCAGUUACGGGGUCAGUAAAUCACUUGAAGAAGACUUUGCUCUGAUGAUGCAACUAAAGUUAGCCUUUAAGUCUUAUUGCUACUUACAGUUGCUAUGAGCAUACGUUUUAACUGAAUUGAGUGGGUUAAUCUUUACUAAUAUCUUUGAUACGUAUGGAGUCACUACAUUUUCUUGUUUUUUUUUUUUUCUUGAAAGAGUAAAUAUUGGCUAGAAGCGCAAUGCAUUUAGUACAAUACAAACCAUA